rnacentral:rRNA from 1 species
GCCCACGAGCAUCAGGCGGGCGUCGGCAUCCUCAACGACACGGGCAUCCAAUUUAUGGAGAUGGUGAGGAUGAGCAGGCAGCUGCACUACUUCCAUGAGUACCAAGGAAAGCUGCGUGCGGUGGUGGGCGCGUCCGAGGCGAAGCAGAUCGUCAACAGGGCGCUGGUGCUCAUCACCCUCGGCGGCAACGACUUUGUCAACAACUACUACCUCAUCCCCUUCUCCCUCCGCUCCCUUCAGUUCUCCCUCCCGGACUACGUCCGCUAUCUGAUCUCCGAGUACAAGAAAAUCCUCAUGAGGCUGUACGAUAUGGGGGCGCGGCGUGUGCUGGUGACGGGAACUGGCCCGCUGGGUUGCGCCCCGGCACAGCUCGCCAGGAGCCGCGGAGGAGGGUGCAAUGCCGACCUGAUGCGCGCCGCGGAGCUGUUCAACCCGCAGCUGUCCUGGGUCCUGGAGGAGCUCAACGCGCGCUACGGCGACGGAACGUUCAUCGCCGCCAACACCUACCGCAUCCACUUCGACUUCAUCACCGACCCGGCUGCGUACGGGUUCCAGACGGCCACGGAGGCGUGCUGCGGGCAGGGUCCGCACAACGGGAUCGGAUUGUGCACCGCGCUAUCAAACAUCUGCACCGACAGGGACCAAUACGUGUUCUGGGACGCCUACCACCCCACGGAGCGCGCCAACCGGAUCAUCGUCAGCCAGUUCAUGACUGGCUCGCUCGACUACGUCAACCCGCUCAACCUCAGCACUGCCCUCCACAUAGACAUCGCCCUAAUGGAUUGA